rnacentral:rRNA from 1 species
CUCCCAGACUCCUACGGGAGGCAGCAGUGAGGAAUAUUGGUCAAUGGCCGGAAGGCUGAACCAGCCAAGCCGCGUGAAGGACGAAGGUGCCAAGCAUUGUAAACUUCUUUUGUCAGGGGACAAAAUCAGGCUCGAGAGCCUGACCGAGGGUACUUGAAGAAAAAGCAUCGGCUAACUCCGUGCCAGCAGCCGCGGUAAUACGGAGGAUGCGAGCGUUAUCCGGAUUUAUUGGGUUUAAAGGGUGCGGAGGCGGACUGUUAAGUCAGCGGUAAAAGCCCGGGGCCCACCCGCGGCGAGCCGUUGAAACUGGCUGUCUUGGGAUGUCGAGAGGUAUGCGGAAUGCGCAGUGUAGCGGUGAAAUGCAUAGAUAUCACGCAGAACUCCGAUUGCGAAGGCAGCAUACCGGCGCGCAACUGACGCUCAUGCACGAAAGCGUGGGUAUCGAACAGGAUUAGAUACCCGUGUAC